rnacentral:rRNA from 1 species
AUGGGCGAAAGCCUGAUGCAGCGACGCCGCGUGAGGGAUGACGGCCUUCGGGUUGUAAACCUCUUUCAGCAGGGAAGAAGCGAAAGUGACGGUACCUGCAGAAGAAGCGCCGGCUAACUACGUGCCAGCAGCCGCGGUAAUACGUAGGGCGCAAGCGUUGUCCGGAAUUAUUGGGCGUAAAGAGCUCGUAGGCGGCUUGUCGCGUCGGAUGUGAAAGCCCGGGGCUUAACCCCGGGUCUGCAUUCGAUACGGGCAGGCUAGAGUGUGGUAGGGGAGAUCGGAAUUCCUGGUGUAGCGGUGAAAUGCGCAGAUAUCAGGAGGAACACCGGUGGCGAAGGCGGAUCUCUGGGCCAUUACUGACGCUGAGGAGCGAAAGCGUGGGGAGCGAACAGGAUUAGAUACCCUGGUAGUCCACGCCGUAAACGUUGGGAACUAGGUGUUGGCGACAUUCCACGUCGUCGGUGCCGCAGCUAACGCAUUAAGUUCCCCGCCUGGGGAGUACGGCCGCAAGGCUAAAACUCAAAGGAAUUGACGGGG